GGCGCCGAUGUGGACGAGUCACGCAUUUCGGCUUGUGAAAAACUGAUUACUUAGACCCAUAUCGCAAUAAUGAUGACACUUAGGAGUAAACUGUAACAUAGAUCGUUAAACUAGUAGAAUCUCCAUCAUGAGUCAGAGACGGUGGGAGUUGCCUCCUCGAUGGCUCCACUGCCCACGGAAGGGUCAGCCUGUUGCAGGCAAGUUUCUCCCAUUCAAGACACCACUGGACUCAAAGUAUGAUGAUCAAAUCCCUGAUGAAAAUAUUUUCAACAUCCAGAUGCUCUUCCUUUCUCUCAAAACUUUCAAGACCAAGAUGGGCCUGCUGAUCGACCUGACCAACACAACCAGGUUCUAUGACAAUAAGGAAGUUGACGGCCAGGACUGUAAAUAUCUCAAGCUACAAUGUAAAGGUCGAUCUGAGACUCCCACUGUGGAGCAAACACAAGCUUUUCUUGAAGUGUGUCACAGAUUUUUAACACAGAAACCUCUGGAAAUUAUUGGCGUCCACUGUACUCAUGGCUUCAACAGGACUGGCUUCAUGAUGGUGGCUUAUCUGGUGGAGAAGAUGUCCUGGAGUGUAGAGGCAGCUGUUCGAGCUUUUGCACAGGCACGGCCCCCUGGCAUCUACAAGCAAGACUACUUGAAUGAGCUGUUUGAGCGGUACGGAGACAAGGAGGACACGCCCCCUGCCCCACCCCUCCCUGACUGGUGUUUAGAAUAUGACGACAGUGUUGAUGAUGAUGGGAAUAGUAUGAACAAUCAGUCAGAAGCCUCUAAACAGAAUGGUUCCAGCAAACGGAAACGGGAAUUCAACAAAAAGGAUGCCAAGUUCAUGGAGGGUGUGUCGGGGGUGUUACAAGUGUCGGUGCAGCCCCGGCUGUCACAGAUCCAGCAGUGUGUCCAGAGGAUGUGUGACUGGUCCGGUAAUGGCUUCCCUGGAUCCCAGCCCGUGUCAAUGGACAUCAACAACCUCGACUUCCUCAGGAAGAAACCGUAUAAGGUCAGCUGGAAGGCAGACGGAACAAGGUACAUGAUGUUCAUUGAUGGUAUGGAUGAAGUGUUUAUGGUGGAUCGAGACAACGCAGUGUUUCAUGUGCCUCACUUACAGUUCCCCAAGAGAAAGGAUCUUAACUCACACUUAAGGGAAACGUUACUAGACGGGGAGAUGAUUCUAGACAAGGUAGAGGACAAAACGGUACCACGAUAUCUUGUAUAUGAUAUCAUUAAAUUUGAGGGUCAAGAUGUUGGGAAGACAGAUUUUGACCGGCGAUUGUUAUGCAUACAGAAGGAAAUAAUUGGCCCACGAUAUGCAAAGAUACAACAGGGCAUGCUGGACAAGACUAAAGAGCCAUUUAGUGUGAGAGCCAAGCCCUUUUGGGAUGUCACCAUGUGUGCGAAGCUCCUGGAUGGGAAGUUUACCAAGGAAGUGAGCCAUGAGGUGGAUGGUUUGGUGUUCCAACCUGGAUCUGAUCCUUACAAUCCAGGGAGAUGUCAUGAUGUUCUCAAGUGGAAACCCCCAAGCAUGAAUUCUGUUGAUUUUAGGUUGAAAAUAGUCAAAGAGAACAGACCAGGAAUGUUGCCAGAAACUAAAGGCUACCUGUACGUGGGCAGCUUAGAUCAGCCAUUCUCAGCCAUGAAGCUGAACAAAGAACUGAAAAGUUUAGACAACAAAAUCAUAGAGUGUUCCUGGGAUGGAAGAGAGUGGAAGUUCAUGCGGCAGAGGACAGACAAGUCUUUCCCUAACGCAUACAGCACAGCCAUGGGUGUCUGUGAAAGUAUUCGUAAGCCCGUGACAAAAGACAUCCUGAUGCACACAAUAGAAAGAGAGAGGUGGACACCCCCAGGGUCAAACCGCUCCGAGUUCGGCCACUCCUCAGACAGAGACUUGAUGCCCCCUCCUGCCAAGAUGCCCAGACACUGAUAGUGACUGUGUUUCCUAUCCAGAUUGAUGGACGUGUGUUGACCGUGUCAUUUAGAAGCAGUGAUUGUAAACCGGUGAAUCACUUCAGUGGAGUGUGACCGUCACAACAGGUGAUGGUGGGAGUUUGGGCCAUGCUGACAUAUCCCGCAGCAACCACAGCUUGUGCAGUCCCGUUCAGUGAUGACAUCCCCAACAACAAGGACAUGGUAGUGACUGGAGGACCAGCAGAAUGGGAAAAUAGCAGCAGUGUGUCGACCGAGUCGUCUAGGCUCUUGAUACUCACAAUGGCCACAUUAGGGGUAAUUCAGGCCGUCAUCAGUCAGGAAACUUCAGGGAAACUUCAGGCCUGUAAUAAUACACUAAGUCAUCUAGGCUCCAUUACUGACAAAAAGGGUUAAUCCGACAGUCAUCAGUAGGGAACUACUGGGAUCCCUAUAGGCCUGUAGUAAUACACUAAGUCAUCUAGGCUCCGUUACUGACGAUCAUGACGAUAAGACUUAGACAAACAGUCAUCAGUAUUGAGAACUAGUUUGGUUUCCUUUCGGCCUGUAAUGAUUCACUAAGGCAUCUAGGCUCCAUUACUGACAAUAAGGGUUAAUCUGACAGUCAUCAGUGGGGGGAUAGAUUCCCUCCAAACCUGCACUGAUCCACUAAGUCAUGAUGAAUGAUACAUCCCUUGAUACUCAGGCCAUGAUCAUGACUUACAAUUGAGUUAAAUCGUAACAGUGCUGAUGGAGACUAACUUUUUGGAGGAAGUUGAACUGAAGUGUUGGUGUUGUCGAAUCAUCCAUGACAUCGAAACAUAAAUGAUGAACAUUAUGCUAGGAAUCUAAUGGAGAGAAAGAGACAGCUGUUUUCAGUGGUAGACAUAGUGACACUUCAUGGCCCGUUUUCCCAAUGGUUUUCUGUGAAUGUUGAUGCCUCUCAUUACAAGGGUUGUUAUUACAACUGGCCAACAUGUUGCAAAAGGAUGCAGUUGUACAUCAAGCAGUCAUUACAACAGCUCUAGUUCCUUGACCAUGGACUUUUCUUAUGUUGUUUAUAUGCUUGAAUAUUGCGUGCGAGUCCAAGCCACUGAUUAGUUUGCUGCACUUACCUCUCUACCUUCACCAUCCAAUGUCAUUAAAAUCAGAGCUUAGUUCACGUUACCGCUCAACACAGAUCUGAGGACAUCCCAUUACGGCUCACAUCAGAACAACUUUUAAUCCGUCACAUCAGAGCAUCGUUUACUUGAUCUGGACAGUUACAGUGGGCAUGUGUUUUCUUAUCAUUCAACCUCGAAAAGGUUAUCACGAGGUAUUCAGAACACACGAGGUAUUCAGAACAACAGUUACAGCCUGUACAACUAAUUCCGUCAAUAGCAUUGUCCAUCUCUCGCUUCAAAGAGAUAAACAUUUGAAAUGGAAAAGACUUUCCAUAGCCCAUGGGAAGUACUGCCAUACAAUCUCAGCCAUCUGUUAGACAUUUGAGAAUUUUCUUGUGUUCAGUUUUCAAAUUUGGAAUCGAUAGUCUGGAAUGGACAGUUUGAAAGUAGUUUCAGAAAGGUGCUUUCUGAUUGGUUUAUGUCGAUUUGUUGGUAGUCAUUUUAUUGGUUGGUCAAAGUUUUCGAAAGGUCGUUCUGACGUGACCUGUAAUGGGAUGUCAUCAGAUCUUUGUGUGGCAGUAGCGAGCACGGAGAUAUUAUUUUAAUGAGAUUGCUUAUCCAUCUGCACCAUCACCCAUCUGUUCCAUCGCUGACCCUGCCUUUGAAUGAGUGUGACAAUGUAGAGGUAAAUGUGACACACUUAUACAAUCAUGUACGGGGCGUGAUGACCAUUACACCGAAAUGAUGUAUUCUUGAAAUACUCAAGAAACAUCUCGCAUUGCAAACAUUAAAUUUCUAAAAAUAAUCUGAUCUCUUGGUGUUACUCUCGAAGUAUAAUAAUAGGCUGCUUGGUCGUAGCCAACUUCUUUGCAAGCCAGUGAUUAUUUUGACUGGUGUAACACAACAUGUUUUGAGCCCUCAUUCCCCUGCCAUGUGUUCUCAUUAUUUACUAUUCACACAAUUAGAAAACUCUUUGGGAAUUAUUCUGAUUAAUACAUAAACCCGUCUUAAAUUCCUUGUUAGAGGACAUGAUACCCGUCAUAGUGGAGCCUUUAGAAAAAUGUUAACCUAUCAAAAGGAUACCACAUCAUAUGUUGAAGAUCACUUUGAACUUUGGAGAGAUGAGUGUAUGACAAAUAACAGCAAAGAGUUAAGAUUCAUUUUCAUUGGAAAUUAUUUUGCAGUUUUUGUCUGAACAACGCAUGCUUAGUACUGUUGCACAAGAUGUUAGAGAGGUUCAGGAAAAUCCCUGCUGAUGGAAAUGAGAAGGAUGUUAUCAAGUAUCAUUUCAGAGGUACCGUAUUCGACGUAAUAAGCGCCCCGUCUUAAUAAGCGCCCACAGCGAUAUUUGCUGAUAUAUUGGCUAGUGAACAAUCCCAGUUAACAUCCCUUCCAAUUGAUCAUUGUACACAA
rnacentral:misc_RNA from 1 species